CCGCAGCCCCCGCCCCGCCCCCGCCCGCCCCCGCGCCGCGGUGAAAGGAAAAAAUAUCUCCUUCCUCGCCCCAACCCGCGGUAACAAAUCCUCCACCGGCGGCGGCGGUAGAUCUCCUUCCUCCGCCUCCUCCCCUUCUCCCUUUUCGCGAAACCCCCGAUUUAUUCCCCACGAAUCCGCAGCGACACCAAAUCCGCCUCUUCCUCCCCCCGUCCCCCACUCCUUAUCUCGCCGCCGCAAUCCGUCCGGCCGACUGACCCCUGCCGCCGCCCCGCGAGCCCCGCGGAGCGCUGUCAAGGUUGCUUUUUUAUUCUUCUUUCGUUCCGGGAACAGGUCGGCGGCCGGCCAUGGCGGCGGAGGAGGCGAGCAGCAGCGGCGGCGGGGGCGGCGAGGAGGGGUCCGGCGCCGGCGGGUGGACGCGGGAGCAGGAGAAGGCGUUCGAGAACGCGCUGGCCACGGUGGACGAGGAGGAGGGGGAGGCCAUGUGGGACAAGAUAGCCGACGCCGUCGAGGGCAAGACGCCCGAGGAGGUCCGGCGGCACUACGAGCUGCUCGUGGAGGACGUGGACGGCAUCGAGGCCGGCCGCGUGCCGCUCCUCGUCUACGCCGGCGACGGCGAGGAGGGGGGCUCCGGCGCCGGGGCUGGGGGCAGCGGCGGGGGCGGGGGCGGGGGCGGGAAGAAGAGCGGCGGAGGAGGGGGCGGGCACGGGGAGAAGGGCUCGUCCAAGUCCGCCGAGCAGGAGCGCCGCAAGGGGAUCGCCUGGACCGAGGACGAGCACAGGUUGUUUCUUCUUGGACUUGAAAAGUAUGGCAAAGGUGACUGGAGGAGCAUCUCAAGGAACUUCGUCAUCUCAAGGACGCCCACUCAGGUCGCCAGUCACGCGCAGAAGUACUUCAUCCGCCUCAACUCGAUGAACAGGGAGAGGCGGCGAUCAAGCAUACACGACAUCACCAGCGUGAACGGAGAGGCAUCAGCGGCUCAGGGCCCAAUCACAGGCACAAAUGGGCAGGCCGCAGUCCCCGGCAAGUCCCCCAAGCAAUCCCCGCACCAGCCAGGGAACCUGCCCCCAGGCGUGGACGCCUUCGGCACAACGAUCGGGCAGCCGGUCGGCGGCCCCCUCGUGUCCGCCGUCGGCACCCCGGUCACGCUCCCUGUUGCUGCGCCACCUCACAUGGGGUACGCCAUGCACGCCCCGGUCCCAGGAACCGUGGUGCCCCGUGCUCCAAUGUACCCGAUGCCGCCCCCGCCGUCCCGGUGAUGCCCCCCUGCUGCAAAAUAGACGUUGUUAAGCGAUGCUGCUGGGCUUCCUGACAGACCAAUUCAGAACCUUCUCCAUGUUGUCCGGCCUUGCAGUGAAAUGCUCUGUUAUGUCUGAAUAAAGGAAUAACCUAUAAACUCUUGUACAUUACAGAUGGUGUUAUGGACGUUGCGGAUUAUAUGUAAUCGUGUCGCGUUUCAUCGUCGUCGUUCGAUGUUCGCCUUCGGGUUGGAUGGAUGGAUACUGGGUGUGUUUCUGUUGGUGAUCUGUGUGAUGCAGGCACAGGAGAAGAUUUACUUGGCAAUGUAUGAAUUGGUUAUUACAGAGAUUAUCAUCUGCGGUGUAUCUUUGUAACGGUGAAUCAUCAAAGAUUUGUCCAGG
rnacentral:rRNA from 1 species